rnacentral:rRNA from 1 species
CCUACGGGCGGCUGCAGUGGGGAAUAUUGGACAAUGGGCGCAAGCCUGAUCCAGCCACGCCGCGUGAGUGAUGAAGGCCUUCGGGUCGUAAAGCUCUGUGGGGAGGGACGAACCGCUGUCGGUUAAUACCCGGCAGCAUGACGGUACCUCCUUAGCAAGCACCGGCUAACUUCGUGCCAGCAGCCGCGGUCAUACGAAGGGUGCAUACGUUGCUGUGAAUUAUUGGGCGUAGACCGCGCAAGGGCGGCUUGAAAGCCCUCGGCUUAACCAAGGAAGUGCAUCCAAAACUGCUGAGCUUGAGUAGUGAAGAGGAUCGCGGAAUUCCCGGUGUAGAGGUGAAAUUCGUAGAUAUCGGGAGGAACACCAGUGGCGAAGGCGGCGAUCUGGGAACAUACUGACGCUGAGGUGCGAAAGCGUGGGGAGCAAACAGGAUUAGAUACCCCAGUAGUC